CAUACCUGAUUGAAGACCUUUUUAUUCUUUUAGAUGUUUAUGCCAUGGCACAACCCAUUUUCUGUCACUGGAGUCCUGCAAUAGACACAUAUUAGCUGAAAGCUGAAAAAUCAGGACAUGAUUUCUAAACUGCCACCACUCCCUCAUUUUCAAGCCCACCUACACAAAUCUUAUAUCAAAAUGUUCAGCUAUCCCUGCUGCCACUAAACAUGUCCACGGCUAAGCCAUAGUCCUGAUAGUUUUCACAAUAUGACCAUUUGUUUGCAACCCAC